rnacentral:rRNA from 1 species
GACGAACGCUGGCGGCGUGCUUAACACAUGCAAGUCGAACGGAAAGGCCCUGCUUUUGUGUGUUUCUCGAGUGGCGCACGGGUGAGUAACACGUGAGUAACCUGCCCUUGACUUUGUGAUAACUUCAGGAAACUGCGGCUCAUACCGGAUAGGAUCUCCUGCUGCGUGUUGGGGGUUGGAAAGUUUCGGCGGUUUUGGAUAGACUCGCUGGUUAUGAGCUUGUUGGUGUGGUAGUUAAUUAACAAGGUUUUGAAGGGUAGCCGGCCUGAGAGGGUGACCGGCCACAUUAGUACUGAGAUACGGCCCAGAAUCCUACGUGAGGCAGCAGUCGAGAAUAUUACACAAUGAGCGGAAGCCUGAUGCAACAACGCCGCGUUCGUAAUGACGUCCUUCUGGUUAUAAACAGAUUUCGACUUUAACGAAGCGUGAUUGACGGUAAUGAGUAAAAAAGCACCGGCUAACUACGUG